rnacentral:rRNA from 1 species
GAUGAACGCUAGCGGCAGGCCUAACACAUGCAAGUCGAGGGGUAGCAGGAUUAAGCUUGCUUAAUUGCUGACGACCGGCGCACGGGUGCGUAACGCGUAUGCAACCUACCUUAUACUGGGGUAUAGCCCGGAGAAAUUCGGAUUAAUCCCCCAUAGUACUAAUGAAUCGCAUGGUUUAUUAGUUAAAUCAUCGCGGUAUAAGAUGGGCAUGCGUCCUAUUAGCUAGAUGGUGAGGUAACGGCUCACCAUGGCUACGAUAGGUAGGGGGCCUGAGGGGGUGGUCCCCCACACUGGUACUGAGACACGGACCAGACUCCUACGGGAGGCAGCAGUGAGGAAUAUUGGUCAAUGGGCGCAAGCCUGAACCAGCCAUGCCGCGUGCAGGAAGAAUGCCCUAUGGGUUGUAAACUGCUUUUAUUUGGGAAUAAACCUCUUUACGUGUAGAGAGCUGAAGGUACCAAAUGAAUAAGCACCGGCUAACUCCGUGCCAGCAGCCGCCGUAA